AUGUCAGGCUCCAGGGAAGAAAGGCCAGUGCAAGCUAAUACCAUGCUACCAAGAUAUUGCAAGAUCAAGUCCAAGCAGCAUGUACCUGAAAGGAACAACUUACCUCCAAAUAAUCACUGCUUGCUCCUGCUUCAAACCAUUCUGCUCUCAGCAGAAGCACAUGCUGGUUUUGUAAGCCCUGUUUCCAGUGGGAUGGCACGUUAUGUGAAGAGAGCACCACAACCACGUAGUGUGAUCUCUGGGGUAAUACAAACCAAGGAACGUGACAGUGAUUCCUCAUUCAAGUCAAGAGUGCGUGUUCAGAAUACAUCUGCUGGAAAGCCAAGCAAUGUCAAAGACAACAAGAGACAGACAAGCUGCUGCAGCCCUCGGUGCGUGCACAGUCAAGCAGUAUGCAGCAGUUCAUUUCAGAUGCACACAGUAUAUUUUCAGCACUAUUACCUGCUUUGUCUAAUUAGUGUUUUUCCUAAUUUCAUAACCGGCACUAACCAUGUGGUAAUAAUUACUUAGGAAGAAGCUUGUCAUAGCCAGGGGAGAGAGAAGGCAUUUUGCUUUAAAAUCUCCAAAUUGGAGAUUCAUUAAUAGAAAUUAUAGCAUGCACACUAUGCAAAAAUACACAGAAUUAUCUCAAAAUGAGUAGUCAGCAAAGGGCAGGUAGACUAUGCUGAUGUCUCUGGAUGAUACGUAUGUUUUGCUGCCUUAGCUAUUCUCAGCACUUGCUUUUGUCAAAAAAAUAAAUGAUGCUUUCUGAAGAAUUCACAGGCAAUCUAGUGCUUGUUGCAGACUUACAACUGAGAAUUUAAGGUAUUUUUCUUCAGACUAGAAUACAGGCAGAGCUUAAUCCUCGCACAUGUCUUAUCUGGGAAGCACUGAUAUUAUAUAAACAUCUGAGAUUUAAGAUGACGAAUUUUUGCAAAAACAUAUCUGCAAUUGACAAUAAAAAUGGAUUAUAUUUCUCUGUAAAAACUUGCAUAAAAAACUGUGCCAGUAAACGAAGGAUGCCUGUUCUCCAUACUUGUUUGCAUUAGGUCAUCCUUUCUGUGAUCAAAUGCUUUUCAAACAUUUUGUAAGGGACAACCAAUUUUAGAUGGUUUCCUGGCAAGACUAAAUUUCACUCUUCUGUGAUAGAUAAUCUUAACAUCAAGUCAGCCUUCUUCUAAAACAAACAAGCAAGCAGUCAGCUGUACAAGGGUCCAAUCUAAUUUAACAUUGCUGGAGCAUCCCUUCUCUCAAAGCUACCCUGCCAAGCUCUGUUCCCUACUGAUGGAAGGGGCUGGGCUCUCCAGGUGCCAGCAGCAUGAAAUAAUAGAACUAUAUAACUACUCCAGCGUGGAGUGUGACAUCAGAUCUAUCACUGCAAGCCAGAAAAUCCAUCAAAUUGUGACUUUGUUCCCUCAAACACUCAUUUACUACACAUCACUGAGCUGCUUAUUUAGUAUUUAUGCAAACUCAUCAUGAUGUUAUGCUAGGCCUAAGAAGCAAUAAGGGCAAAGACAAGUUAUAUCUAAGGAGGCUAAACAGAAUCCUAAGUACAUAAAGGAACAUUUGUUUCUACUUCGGACAUAAGACCAACUUUAGCUUACAGCUCCUUUUGAGAGUCACCAGGAGUGAUACUUCUGAAAGUCUUCAUAAACCUAUGCUGACACAUACAGCUCCAGGACUAAUCUUUGCACAACAAAAAGAACUGGUAAGGUACUGCAGGGAGCAGUGCUGUGCAGCUCAGCAGGGGCACAAGCAGCUGGAUACAGUUGGAAGCAGAUGGGUGCUGCUAGCUCCCUUCAGAGCGUUUCCAUUGAUCAAAAGCAGCUGGAUACAGAGCAGCUCAGAUGUACUUGGGCUGUUUUACAGAGGACAAGAGAAAACAAAGGAAAGCCCUUUCCUUUUGUGUUUCUCUCAGUUCCCUUAAGGAAGAUUUUCAAGAUGUAACCAAAUGCAGUCACCUAACUGCAGUUUCUCAAUUGCAGUUUCCUCUCCAGCACAGUUUCUAAAUUGGAAGCACAGUACAAACCCAACUGCCUUCCAAAUUGGUCUGUGUGGCACAGCAAUCAAACCCCUCAGAUGCCACACUGCUGAUCAACCCAGCCCUUACACUGUGGGCUCCGCUCGUAGGAAAGUCACAAAGGCCAUAAUUAUUUCAGCUCAAGCUGUUUAUGAUGCCAGAGGAUUGGAUCAGAAUUUGUGUUAUUUGAUCAUUUGGUUUUGAUCAGAAUUCACUUUGGGGAAGGCAAAAGAUAAAAGAAAGGAAAUUCACUUUGAUCAGAAGUUAUUUUGCAUAAUCUUGAUUACAGAACUUCAUCACUAUUUACAAACUACAGCAGUGGUAUCUGGCUUACACUUUACCAUCCUAAGUAAUUGAUAUAUCAAAUAAGCAUAAAAAUAAAAUCCCUUUAAUGCUUGAAAUUUUAGAGGUGUUUGAGAUACAGACAAUGUUUAUUAACAAUUUCUCCCUUAGAAUUAUUACAUUAAUUUUAUUACUCCUGUCAUGCUCUGUCUGUUUAAUUGGAUAAUAACUGCAGAAACAUUGCUGCCAUGUAAAUAUGUACAAGCACCUAACAGUGUUUAUGCUAAGGAUUCCAUAUGCUUUCCUGGGAACACGAUAUUUUGAGUGUGCAGCAAAGGGUGACAAGUUGCUUCAUAAGCUGAUCUGAAAGGAAAGAGCAGAACAGAAAGUGAAUAAAUCCUGAUAUCUGAUCAUUGCAUUGAAAUACUGCUGCUAAUAACACGAGUGAGCAUUAAAAGUUGACCACAAAAUAGUAUAGGGCUUGCUUUAAUAGCAUGAGGCCUUCUCCCGACUACUCCUACUGUCACUAGCCAUACUCUUUUUCUUUCUUUCCUUGUGUUUGCUAGAUCAAUGUAGUAGUGAAAAAGAGGGAUGAAUUAUCUGAGUACAGAGAGCAAUAACUUCAGCUUUCCCCUUCUCACACUGUGCCUAUAUUUAUGCCACAACACAACAGGUUCCCAGGUCAUGUGUCAGUCAAGAAAAGCACAGCUUUGUUGCUUCCUAACCCGGCAGAAUUCGCACACAAACAGGACCGCAGCCUUCAGUCAAGCUGCUUUGCACAGGCUCAACUUGAAGGCAGCCCAAUUUCUCAACAACUUCAUUGAUUUCUGGAGUUUGUCUCCAAGAGCAGCUUAUAAACAUUUCUUUUAUGGACGUGUCCUAGUGGAGGAUCUGCAAUAUAUCAGUGUUGUUGAUCUCUGAAAACAGCAGGUGAGAUGGUGUCAGCACUUGCCAGGACAGCACUUGGUUUGACAUCCAUUUUAAAGUUAAGCACCGUCUGAGAGCAAUAUCAUCUGAAGCUCUCAUAAAGGAGUUAUCAGAUUCUCACUUUUUGUAACUCAGCUUGACUUGCUUCAAUAGGGCUGUGCAAGUAUAAAUAUUUUCAUUACAACGUAUUAACAAAUUCAAAGAAAUGGUGCCUUUUCACUGCAAGAUUAUGAGGUAGCACAAAAUUAAGAAGUAUUUGCUUGAAGCCCUUCAGCACACAACAAAAAAUGUGCUGCUGAACUCUUUACCCGUCAAAGUGUCCAGUUCAAAUCUAACAUAUAAGAAGGAAAUAUAUUGGCACUAUCAGGCGGUGUUUGAGAUUUGGGCUGUUCAAAGCAGUUAAGCUCUUCAUAAAAGAACCACUGACAACUCAUGAUGUCAUUUUGCAGGGCUCCACUCAAUGUCUGUACAUAAGUCCUUAAUACAAAAUGGGAAAAUGUACAUUUUCCCCCCUAAAUUUAGUUACUCAUCUCUCAAUUUCCUUUCCCAGUGACAUCAUUCUUAGCAGAUACAGAAGUAUUGCUGCACAGUUCCAUAGUCGUCAUCUUAAGGUGCUGUGCAUGCUUGGGAAUUUUCCAUAAAAACAGGUCAGUGCAUUUUCAAAUUCCCUUAACUUUAUUUUUGGAUUUAAGAGGAUAUGAGGAAUAGGCGUAAGUGAAGAGAGCUUUGUAGAAAUGGUAUUUUUUAUUAGAUCAGCUGAUAAAGCAUGAAAAAACAAGCAUGCUUUUGGACAUAGGGUAUCUUCUUCAGCAAAAUCUAACUCAACACAGGCAAUUUCAGUUAAAUAUUAUUAUAUUGAUGGCAAUGCUAUUACAAAAUGGUUGCAGAACUGGGAAGCCAAGUAAGAAGAGAAGGUGAAGGUCUCUUCACUUAAUUUGGAAUUCCAAUAUUCCACAUGAAGCCAAAUGAAAUGUCUCAAUCACAAUUAUGGGAAAAAGAGCACAGGAUUUAUUCUGACCCAUUCUUCCUCCCCUCAGGUGCUCAUCCCUGCUCGUCAGUCUGGCUCUGGCUGCUGCUUCUAGUUUUAACCCCGACAAAACCAAUAAUUACUCUGAUGCUGUUGUACAACCAUAGAGAUACUACUGGCAGAACUGUUCUACUCUUACUAGACGUGUAAAAGAAACAGUGAAAUACCAUCAUUUUUAUAGUCCUGUUCCUCUCUCAGAAAUGUGGGAGAUGUCCAAGUAUGGACAGUUAGUGUGACUGCAACAGACUGAGAAAGAAAGUGCAAUGAAUGAGAGGCUAUUGUGUAGCUUCACCAUUUCAAGAUCUAAUGGUAACAGAGCACCUGCACUGAAAAUGAAGACGAGGGGAGGGAACCAAACAAGGCCAGGAGAAAUUGCUGAGGCCAGUAGGGAAGAGGUUGGGGAGCAAUAAAGACAAACUUCCUCAGUGCUGAGAUGACUAAGAAAAACUUAAAAAUUGAUGAGACUAUAGAAAAUACCAGCCUGCAAUCCCAUUAGCAAAUAAAGACCAGCCUCCACUGUGAUUCCUGGCAAUGCCACCAACAGCUUACUAUUAGAUUUUUCCACAAGCAAUACAAGAACUGCACAAAUAAGCAAAACUCUACUUUUUUUUCUUAUAAACAGCAGAAAAACAAGUCAGCAGUGUCAGUCAAAAUUAUCCUAAUUAAUUUACAGUUAACUUCUGAACAACCAGGUAUUUAUUAGAUGAACUGCAAACAAGUUACAUGCAGCAUUAGUUAUUGCAUCAGUGCAAUGUUUCUUCUCAUCUGCAUCAAGUACAAGACUUGGCUUUUUUAAUUGAGUGUUCCUAAAAGCAGGACUACAAAAGCAGCUCUUAUAUGAUGAAAGGCUGAAGGUUUUGCAACAUCUCUCAGAAAGAUCACUAUAAGCACACAAAACUAUAGAAAAUAAAAAGAUACUGUUGGUAGAAGGUCCAACAGAGCAUCAAAGCUGACAUUGCUUGAACAGCGUGGGAGGAACGUAGAAAGUACUGAGAAUGACACUGUUCUAUUUUCUUCCCAGGCUUCAGCUUCCAAUGUUCAUUAAUAGAAAAUAUUUCUAUUCAGUAUUCAUUAAGCAGAAAAUGAAUGGGGAGAAAUGGUCUGGCUGGUUUUAUUCCUAUCUCUG
ensembl:lncRNA